rnacentral:rRNA from 1 species
UACGUAGGGGGCUAGCGUUGUCCGGAAUCAUUGGGCGUAAAGCGCGCGUAGGCGGCCCAGUAAGUCCGUUGUAAAAGUCAAAGGCUCAACCUUUGAAAGCCGAUGGAUACUGCUGGGCUAGAGUCCGGAAGAGGCGAGUGGAAUUCCUGGUGUAGCGGUGGAAUGCGCAGAUAUCAGGAGGAACACCGAUAGCGAAGGCAGCUCGCUGGGACGGUACUGACGCCUGAGGCGCGGAAAGCGUGGGGAGCGAACAGG